GAUGAACGCUGGCGGCGUGCCUAAUACAUGCAAGUCGAGCGAACAGACGAGAAGCUUGCUCCUCUGACGUUAGCGGCGGACGGGUGAGUAACACGUGGAUAACCUACCUAUAAGACUGGGAUAACUUCGGGAAACCGGAGCUAAUACCGGAUGAUAUAUUGAACCGCAUGGUUCAAUAGUGAAAGACGGUUUUGCUGUCACUUAUAGAUGGAUCCGCGCUGCAUUAGCUAGUUGGUAAGGUAACGGCUUACCAAGGCAACGAUGCGUAGCCGACCUGAGAGGGUGAUCGGCCACACUGGAACUGAGACACGGUCCAGACUCCUACGGGAGGCAGCAGUAGGGAAUCUUCCGCAAUGGGCGAAAGCCUGACGGAGCAACGCCGCGUGAGUGAUGAAGGUCUUCGGAUCGUAAAACUCUGUUAUUAGGGAAGAACAAAUGUGUAAGUAACUGUGCACGUCUUGACGGUACCUAAUCAGAAAGCCACGGCUAACUACGUG
rnacentral:rRNA from 1 species